rnacentral:rRNA from 1 species
GACGAACGCUGGCGGCGUGCUUAACACAUGCAAGUCGAACGGAAAGGCCCUGCUUUUGUGGGGUGCUCGAGUGGCGAACGGGUGAGUAACACGUGAGUAACCUGCCCUUGACUUUGGGAUAACUUCAGGAAACUGGGGCUAAUACCGGAUAGGAGCUCCUGCUGCAUGGUGGGGGUUGGAAAGUUUCGGCGGUUGGGGAUGGACUCGCGGCUUAUCAGCUUGUUGGUGGGGUAGUGGCUUACCAAGGCUUUGACGGGUAGCCGGCCUGAGAGGGUGACCGGCCACAUUGGGACUGAGGUACGGCCCAGACUCCUACGGGAGGCAGCAGUGGGGAAUAUUGCAUAAUGGGCGGAAGCCUGAAGCAGCAACGCCGCGUGCGGGAUGACGGCCUUCGGGUUGUAAACCGCUUUCGCCUGUGACGAAGCGUGAGUGACGGUAAUGGGUAAAGAAGCACCGGCUAACUACGUG